rnacentral:rRNA from 1 species
UACGUAGGGUGCGAGCGUUGUCCGGAAUUACUGGGCGUAAAGAGCUCGUAGGUGGUUUGUCGCGUUGUCCGUGAAAACUCACAGCUCAACUGUGGGCGUGCGGGCGAUACGGGCAGACUGGAGUACUGCAGGGGAGACUGGAAUUCCUGGUGUAGCGGUGGAAUGCGCAGAUAUCAGGAGGAACACCGGUGGCGAAGGCGGGUCUCUGGGCUGUAACUGACGCUGAGGCGCGAAAGCGUGGGGAGCAAACAGG